AGAAGUGCUAAUAACUAAUAAUAUCGAUCGCUUUCACGCUUCCGAAGGAUUAAAGUGCUUACCAGUGCAGGCUAGCACGAUGCUCUGACCGUAGUGCCUGGGACUGCUUGCUAAAGGCCUACUCUUCAUAGUCAGAGAUUCAGAGGGUCAGAUGAGAUCUGGCAGGCUUUUCCGGCUUGCGAACGAAUUUUAUUACCAUCAGUUGUAUAUAAGGCGCCAUUGUUCAGUGCUGCUGUGAAAUGGAACUGAGUUUGUAAAUUUUGGAACGUGUUCCACUCGCACUCCCUGGUCAGUACAGUUUACAAGGCGCCAAACCAUGAUAUUCUUUUAAAGAAAUUUUUUUCAUAUCCUUGCUGCGUUCGAUGCAAUUUAUAUCAAGACCAUACUUAUCAGAAACCAUUUUACUCGCUUCUUUUGAUGUGCUUGAUAUCACACUCGGAAAGCGUAUUCCUCUUCUGUGUUGUUCCUCAGCUAAAAGGCAAACCAAAAAAUGGCCAAAUCGUGUAUGAAAUCUGAGAGCUGCGGCGCUUAUCCGGAUUGUCAGGAACUUGUAUACCACAAAAUUCAGCCCAUAUAUAAACAAGUGUACCUGCACUUCGUUCUCUCUACGGUGCGAUUCAUCCUGGAAUGUGUUCCUUUUGCGUGGAAAGCUUACGAAACUUUGAAAACUGAUCAAGGAAAGUUGAUCGCGCAUGUUACUUCAGCGAAAAAUGUGAGCUCUAGUACGCAACCUAUCCGCUCUCACUGGAAUCUUUGGACUAUAUCGGCAGCUAUGUGGAUUGUGCUCACCCUCCUUUGGUCGAUUUGUAUUUUGCAGUGGCUUUUAUUAAGAAAGAUUGAACAAUGGCAUCCGGGCGCAGGGAAGGCACAGUUAAGCAGAGUCAUUUUGUCCCUUGUUUCACUCUACCGGUCGUUUGAAGUUAUGGCAGUAAUAAAUUGCUUCGGUCUAUCGUUUCCUGUGGCAUGGAGCAUCGUAACUUGGAAGGAAUUUUUAAACGGGUGCCCGAUUACGGCGAGUCGGAGCAUCGAUCCAGUUAUUGGUUUGCUUAUCACGCCAUGGACCGUGUUGGCUGUUGCAACCAUCUUUAUUGGCUACUAUUGCUCGUCAAAAAUGUCAGUUUUGGCGAAUAUGCUAAUACAGCGAGGCGUCCAAAUUUCGCAAAGUCAUGAAACAUCUCGACCUCUUGGAAAUUAAGUCAGAGUUAACAUUAGCCAACCACAUGUUCGGUAAAAAGCUUAUACGUUGCCCUCGCAGCAAUAUUUCUUUCCUAGUGUUCACUGAUUGUAGUUGCCGGUGGUCAUCUUUGGCUGCUCCUUUGUUUGGUAAAAUUUACAUAUAUUAUCAUAAAAUUAUUGUUUAUAUGCGAUUUCAACAACAGACUUGUCUCUGCUUCGCUUUACUACAAGUUGUCACAAUACCCUGCCCUACUUUCCCAAUUUUUUUUUCAGGUCUCAGCUAUUGAUAACGUAUUAAACAUUAAUAAUUAUCUUAUUAAACAUGGAACGUUAUCUUAUUAAUUAUCCUAAUAAACAUUUUUGUUUUAUUAAACAUGGAACGUCAAGGCUUCAGCUGUCAAUAAUCUUUUUGAUAUCAGAAUUCAUAAGAACGCAUCGUGAGAACUGAAAGGCUCGCUGAAUGAGCCACCAUUAACGGAAGAUAUCUGCGGUGCAUGUCAUUAAAAAUUUAUACUAUCACCAAACUUUGCUUUCGCGUACUUCUACACACUUCUGCGCAUAGCCAACAACCAUAACUUUCGAACUCAAUGUGGCGCCCACAAGCGGUUUUCAUGCUAGUGCAUACAAAAUCACAAAUCUUUUGGCAAAGACAAUAUCGUGGAAUACACAAUAUCGUGGAAAAUGCAAAACCGUGUUCGGGGGUGCACGAAAGAUACAUUUUCGUGUUAGUACACGAUUUUGGUGCCAUGCUUUAAAUCAUUGCCCUAUAUAUAUAUGUAUCAUUUCUUUAAUGGUUAUCUACAUCCGUAACCACGUAUACACGAUUGAUAAUGUAGCCAAUGUUUGGGCGAACGGCUGAACCGAUUUCGACGCGGC